rnacentral:rRNA from 1 species
UACAGAGGGGGCAAGCGUUAUUCGGAAUUAUUGGGCGUAAGGGGCGCGUAGGCGGCUUGGCAAGUGGAUGGUGAAAUCCCUCGGCUUAACCGAGGAACUGCCGUCCAAACUGCUUCGCUUGAGACCGGGAGAGGUGAGUGGAAUUCCCAGUGUAGCGGUGAAAUGCGUAGAUAUUGGGGAGGAACACCAGUGGCGAAGGCGGCUCACUGGACCGGUACUGACGCUGAUGCGCGAAAGCGUGGGGAGCAAACGGG